CCCUUAGAUGUUCUGGGCCGCACGCGCGCUACACUGACUACUUCAACGAGUUGUUUCCUUGAUCGUAAGGUCUGGGUAAUCUUUGAAAGGUAGUCGUGAUGGGGAUAGAUCCUUGCAAUUUUUGAUCUUCAACGAGGAAUUCCUAGUAAACGCAAGUCAUCAGCUUGCAUUGAUUACGUCCCUGCCCUUUGUACACACCGCCCGUCGCACCUACCGAUUGAAUGGUCCGGUGAAUCUUUAGGACUGUGGCUGAGGCCUUGCCUUGUGCGGGUCUGGCCGUGGGAAUUUAGUUAAACCUUACCAUUUAGAGGAAGGUGAAGUCGUAACA
rnacentral:rRNA from 1 species